rnacentral:rRNA from 1 species
GGAGUUAGCCGGUGCUUCUUCUGUGAGUGAUGUCCUUCCUGCCGGCUAUUAACCCGCAGGCCUUCUUCCUCACUGAAAGUGCUUUACAACCCGAAGGCCUUCUUCACACACGCGGCAUGGCUGGAUCAGGGUUGCCCCCAUUGUCCAAUAUUCCCCACUGCUGCCUCCCGUAGGAGUCUGGGCCGUGUCUCAGUCCCAGUGUGGCUGAUCAUCCUCUCAGACCAGCUACGGAUCGUCGCCUUGGUGAGCCGUUACCUCACCAACCAGCUAAUCCGACAUAGGCUCAUCCGAUAGCGCGAGGCCCGAAGGUCCCCCGCUUUCCCCCGUAGGGCGUAUGCGGUAUUAGCCUGGGUUUCCCCAGGUUAUCCCCCACUACCGGGCAGAUUCCUAUGCAUUACUCACCCGUCCGCCGCUCGCCACCAGGGAGCAAGCUCCCCGUGCUGCCGCUCGACUUGCAUGUGUUAGGCCUGCCGCCACGCGUUCAUCUGAGUCAGAUACAACUACUGA